rnacentral:rRNA from 1 species
GCGGAGGAAAAGAAACCAACAGGGAUUGCUCUAGUAACGGCGAGUGAAGCAGCAAUAGCUCAAAUUUGAAAUCUGGCGUCUUCGGCGUCCGAGUUGUAAUUUGUAGAGGAUGCUUCUGGGCAGCCACCGACCUAAGUUCCUUGGAACAGGACGUCAUARAGGGUGAGAAUCCCGUAUGCGGUCGGAAAGGCACCCUACACGUAGCUCCUUCGACGAGUCGAGUUGUUUGGGAAUGCAGCUCUAAAUGGGAGGUAAAUUUCUUCUAAAGCUAAAUAUUGGCCAGAGACCGAUAGCGCACAAGUAGAGUGAUCGAAAGAUGAAAAGCACUUUGGAAAGAGAGUUAAAAAGCACGUGAAAUUGUUGAAAGGGAAGGGAUUGCAACCAGACUUGCUCGCGGUGUUCCGCCGGUCUUCUGACCGGUCUACUCGCCGCGUUGCAGGCCAGCAUCGUCUGGUGCCGCUGGAUAAGACUUGAGGAAUGUAGCUCCCUCGGGAGUGUUAUAGCCUCUUGUGAUGCAGCGAGCGCCGGGCGAGGUCCGCG